AGAAUCAACGCUGGCGGCGUGCCUAACACAUGCAAGUCGAACGAGAAAGGGGAGCAAUCCCUGAGUAAAGUGGCGACCGGGUGAGUAACACGUGACUAACCUACCUUCGAGUGGGGGAUAACCUCGGGAAACCGAGGCUAAUACCGCAUAACAUCGUGAGAUCAAAGCAGUAAUGCGCUGGAAGAGGGGGUCGCGGCUGAUUAGCUAGUUGGCGGGGUAAUGGCCCACCAAGGCGAAGAUCGGUAGCCGGCCUGAGAGGGCGCACGGCCACACUGGAACUGAAACACGGUCCAGACUCCUACGGGAGGCAGCAGUGGGAAUUUUGCGCAAUGGGGGAAACCCUGACGCAGCAACGCCGCGUGGAGGAUGAAGUCCCGUUGGGACGUAAACUCCUUUCGACCAAGACGAUAAUGACGGUACUGGUGGAAGAAGCACCGGCUAACUCUGUGCCAGCAGCCGC
rnacentral:rRNA from 1 species